CGCGUAGGCGGAGGACCAAGUCCGGGGUGAAAUCUUUCGGCUCAACCGGAAAACUGCCUUGGAUACUGGUCUUCUUGAGGGAGGUAGGGGCAGGUGGAACUUCCGGUGGAGCGGUGAAAUGCGUUGAUAUCGGAAGGAACGCCGGUGGCGAAAGCGGCCUGCUGGAUCUCUUCUGACGCUGAGGCGCGAAAGCUAGGGUAGCAACG
rnacentral:rRNA from 1 species